rnacentral:sRNA from 1 species
AGUUCGAUCGGGUCGCUGUUUCGCGUCACCACGAGGUAGUCGCGCAGCGCCAUGCUGUGCCGGUUCUC